AGCAGCCGCGGUAAUUCCAGCUCCAAUAGCGUAUAUUAAAGUUGUUGCAGUUAAAAAGCUCGUAGUUGAAUUUCGGGAUCAAUAUGUUGGUCGUGCCUCGGUACGUACUAGCUUAUUGGUUUCUCCUUUCUGAAGAACCAUGAUGUCAUUUAUUUGGUGUCGUGGGGAAUCAGGACUGUUACUUUGAAAAAAUUAGAGUGUUUAAAGCAGGCUCACGCUUGAAUACAUUAGCAUGGAAUAAUGAAAUAGGACGUUUGAUUCUAUUUUGUUGGUUUCUAGGAUCGACGUAAUGAUUAAUAGGGAUAGUUGGGGGCAUUAGUAUUCAAUUGUCAGAGGUGAAAUUCUUGGAUUUAUUGAAGACUAACUACUGCGAAAGCAUUUGCCAAGGAUGUUUUCAUUAAUCAAGAACGAAAGUUAGGGGAUCGAAGACGAUCAGAUACCGUCGUAGUCUUAACCAUAAACUAUGCCGACUAGG
rnacentral:misc_RNA from 1 species